rnacentral:rRNA from 1 species
AGGAUGAACGCUGGCGGCGUGCUUAACACAUGCAAGUCGAACGGUGAAGUGAGGAGCUUGCUCCUUGCGGAUCAGUGGCGAACGGGUGAGUAACACGUGAGUAACCUGCCCUUGACUCUGGGAUAAGCGUUGGAAACGACGUCUAAUACCGGAUACGACCUCCGAAGGCAUCUUCUGGAGGUGGAAAGAAUUUCGGUCAAGGAUGGACUCGCGGCCUAUCAGCUAGUUGGUGAGGUAAUGGCCCACCAAGGCGACGACGGGUAGCCGGCCUGAGAGGGUGACCGGCCACACUGGGACUGAGACACGGCCCAGACUCCUACGGGAGGCAGCAGUGGGGAAUAUUGCACAAUGGGCGCAAGCCUGAUGCAGCAACGCCGCGUGAGGGACGACGGCCUUCGGUUGUAACCUCUUUAGUAGGAGAAGCGAUGUGCUUGUCACAUCAUGACGGUACCUGCAGAAAAGCACGGCUAACUACGUGCCAGCAGCCGG